UACGGAGGAUGCGAGCGUUAUCCGGAUUUAUUGGGUUUAAAGGGUGCGUAGGCGGACUGUCAAGUCAGCGGUAAAUUGAGAGGCUCAACCUCUUCCCGCCGUUGAAACUGGUGGUCUUGAGUGGAUGAGAAGUACGCGGAAUGCGUGGUGUAGCGGUGAAAUGCAUAGAUAUCACGCAGAACUCCGAUUGCGAAGGCAGCGUACCGGCAUCCAACUGACGCUGAGGCACGAAAGCGUGGGGACCAAACAGG
rnacentral:rRNA from 1 species